rnacentral:rRNA from 1 species
GGGGAAUAUUGGACAAUGGGCGAAAGCCUGAUCCAGCAAUACCGCGUGUGUGAAGAAGGCCUGAGGGUUGUAAAGCACUUUCAAUAGGAAGGAAUACCUGCCGGUUAAUACCCGGUAGACUGACAUUACCUAUACAAGAAGCACCGGCUAACUCCGUGCCAGCAGCCGCGGUAAUACGGAGGGUGCAAGCGUUAAUCGGAAUUACUGGGCGUAAAGCGUGCGUAGGCGGUUGUUUAAGUCAGGUGUGAAAGCCCUGGGCUUAACCUGGGAACUGCAUUUGAUACUGGGCAACUAGAGUGUAGUAGAGGGGAGUGGAAUUUCAGGUGUAGCGGUGAAAUGCGUAGAGAUCUGAAGGAACACCAGUGGCGAAGGCGGCUCCCUGGACUAAAUCUGACGCUGAGGUACGAAAGCGUGGGUAGCAAACA